ensembl:processed_transcript
UUCGGAAAACGAAGAUAAGGGAGUAAUGUCUAGCUAGGCUACUUAUAGUGGGUUAGGAUAGAUCUGAUUGGCUAACUAAUGAGUGUAGAUAGGUGGCCAGCUGCUGUCAAUUAUAUCACGUGCUCCUCUCGAAAUUAGUUUAAAAACUUCACAAAGAAAAACCCUACAUAUGGACAGAUAGUAGAGUACUUGAAGACCGAUCAUGAUGAAAUAUCCAAGGUCCAGUUCAUCAACUCUCAGGAGAAGGAAGUUGAUUUAGUCCCACAGCAAUUUGUGAUUAAACCUCAAGGAAUCAACAUUCAGAUUUACUUUGUUCCUCAGUUUGGUGGAAGGUUGAAUGAAGUUCACCAGAGUCAGAUCAAAAACUUUGAGUUAUUCCAGAUGAAAAUGAAGCUGAUUUUCUUUCUCCUAGUCCUCUUAAAGAACGGAAUGAAUCCGACCGAAGGACUCGAUGUCUUUUAUUUUUCAGGAAGAAUUACUUUAAGAUAUUUCUUUUACCCAUAUUAUAAUACAUAUGAAAUAAGUUGCUGUAAGUUAAAUCAGUUGCAGUGCUACUUCAUUGUGAACAACAGAGGACUAGUGAACCCUCUGUAUCAAGGAAGAAUAUCCAGCACUAUUUUCAAUGGAGUGUUCUAUGUAAUAAUUACAAACCUGACUGAAGUGGAUGCUGGCACAUACAGAUGUGGUGUUGGGAUCAUUAACACCUAUGAAGAUGUUCAUGUUACAGUUUCUGACUUACCAAAAGAAACCAUCAAACCAACAUUCUGGAGCUCUUCUUCAUCUACACCCAUUGUUUCAGAGCAACCAGCUGAAAAAUCCAGUGAUGGCUGGAGCACGUUCCACAUGCUGGCUGUUGUUUUAAGUGUUCUGGUGUUUGUGCUCAUCUCAUUGACUCUGCUUGUGUAUCGGUUAAGGAAGAAAAAAACAGAUAAAACUGGAACUUGUGGUUCUUCUAACAUCACCAUGGAGCAGGAUGAGACCGUUUACAGUAUGGUGGACUUCAUACCUCACCAGGAUCAAUGCCAAAUAUAUGUUAAUUUCCAGAUCUGUCAUGCAGAAGACACUGCUCAUUCAGUCAUAGCAAAAGAAAAUGUAGAAUAUUCCACACUUUCGCAACCGCUGCCAUAAACAUUUGCAAUUCCUUU